GCUGGGAUAGUUCAGUUGGUAGAGCAUGAGACUGCGAAUCUCAGGGUUGUGGGUUCGAGCCCCAUGUUGGGUA